AUUGAACGCUGGCGGCAGGCCUAACACAUGCAAGUCGAACGAGUGGCGGACGGGUGAGUAAUGUCUGGGAAACUGCCUGAUGGAGGGGGAUAACUACUGGAAACGGUAGCUAAUACCGCAUACCAUCAGAUGCGCCCAGAUGGGCGUAGCGUGUUGGUGGGGGAACGGCUCACCAAGGCGACGAUCCCGAGCUGGUCUGAGCGGAUGACCCGCCACACUGGAGCGGAGACGCGGUCCAGACUCCUACGGGAGGCAGCAGUGGGGAAUAUUGCACGAAGGGCGCGAGCCUGAUGCAGCCCUGCCGCGUGUAUGAAGAAGUCCUUCGGGUUGUAACGUACUUUCAGCGGGGAGGCGUUACACGCAGAAGAAGCACCGGCUAACUCCGUGCCAGCAGCCGCGGUAAUUC
rnacentral:rRNA from 1 species